rnacentral:lncRNA from 12 species
UCAUGGAAAGAAGCCAUUGCAAACCACAUUUUUCAAGGCACUUAAUCAGGAUUAACUGUCAUGCUGAGGAAGACAAGCUUUUGUCACUCAUACAGUCUCAAGCCAGGGCGAUUUUCUUCCCUGGAAGGAAGGCAACGAAAUUCAGUCAACACAGAGCAUUUGGCUUCAGUUUCAGUCUGCAUAUAAUGACCCCAUGGGUUGUAUGAAAGAAAGACUCAGAGAUGCCAGGUGAGCAUAGACUCUGUAUUUCAUAUAGAAAGUGAGCCCCAGAAAUGCCUAUUCUGAUAUUUGCCUUAUUAGUAAAUAUGCCAAUAUAUUCGUAUUUAUUAUAAUAAUGAAAUUUGACCUUAUUAAAAGAACGGGGAUGGGGAGGAGUAGAUUUAGUGCUUAAACUCAGUGUAACAUUUCGUGGGACCAUUUUAUAGGUGAGAGUAGGUCCUUUGAGUUUCAUGAUUCUCAUCUGGCUAUACUUUUGAAUCACCUGACAGCUUUAAAAAACUCCAUAUACAGGCCUCAUCCCAAAUCAAUUACCUAAGAACUUCUGGGUUACUGAUUCUAUAGGUCUGGGAUUGGGCUCUCACCCUCUGUCUAACUUUUUGUUUUGAAAUAAUUUAAAUCUUACAGAAAAGUCACAAAAACUCAAUGAUACUUUUAAAAUCUAUAUUCAACAUUUCUUUUACAUUUUAUAUUUACUUUGUAUAUAUUGACAUUUUUUCUGAACUAUUUGAAAGUAUGUUUUUUUUGUUUUUGACAGGUUUUAUUUUUUAAAAAUUUAUAUUUUCCCAGCUUUAUUGAUAUAUUCCUGACAUGUUAUAUAUAUGUUUAAGCUGUACAACUUGAUGAUUUGAUACACAUAUAUUUUGUGAAAUGGUUGCUAUAAUAAGGUUUGUUAACAUCUUUAUCCAUUUACAUAAUUACUGUCUUUUCUUUGUUGUGUAAUCACAUUUAAGAUCUACUCUCUUAACAACUUCCAAAUAUGCACUAUAGUAUUAUUAAUCAUAAUCAUUCCAUUGUAUAUUAGAUCCUGUAACUUAUUAAUCUUAUAGCUGGAAGUUUGUACAUUUUGACCAGUGUCUCCUCAUGUCCCCUACAACCCAGCCCUUGCAGACACUAUCCUCCUCUCUUUAUGAAUUCAUCUUUUUUAGUUUCUACAUAUAAGUGACAUACAAUAUUUGUCUUUCUCUAUCUGACUUAUUUCACUUAACAAAAUGCCCUCUAGGUCCAUCUGUGUUGUCACAAAAGGCAGGAUUUCUAUCUCUGUAUGACUGAAUAAUAUCCCAUUGCAUGUACAUACUACAUUUUCUUUAUCCAUUCACUUGUUUUUUUUUUUUUUUUUUUUUUUAUCCAUUCACUUGUUGAUGGACAAUUAGGUUGUACCCAUGUCUUGGCUAUUGUGAAUAAGGCUGCAGUGAAUAUGGGGGUGUAGUUACCUCUUUGACAUAGUGAUUUCAUUUCUUUAGAUAUGUCUGUGAGAGUGGAAUCGCUAGGUCAUAUGUAAUUCUUUUUUUUCAUUUUUGAGGAACCUCCAUUCUGUUUUCCAUAGUGUCUGUACCAAUUUGCAUUCUUACCAACAGAACACGGAAGCUCCCUUUUCCUCAUAGCCUCAUCAACACUUAUCAUUUCUUGUUUUUUUUAUUUUAGCCAAUCUGAUAGGUGUGAGGUAUUAUCACACUGUAGUUUUUAUUUGCAUUUCCCUGAUGAGUGAUAUUGAACAUCUUCUCAUUAGCUGCUGACCAUUUGCAUGUAUGUGUCCUUUGGAAAAUAUGUCUAUUUAGAGCCUUUGCUCAUUUUAAAAUCAGAUUAUUUUGUUUACUUUUUAGCUAUUGAGUUCAAAGAAUUUUUAAAUGUAUUUUGGAUAUUAACCCCUUAUCAGAUAUAUGAUUUGGUUACUUUCUCCUAUGACAUAGAUUGGUUACCUUGAAAAUAUGUUGCAAAGAACAUGCCUCUUUACCCAAUAAUUUUUCGUGUGCAUUUCCUUAAACAAAGAAUAUUUCUUAUAGAAAUAUAACACUUAUAUAACUAACACUUAUAUAAUACUUUUACCUAAUUUGUAAACCAUAUUCUGAUUUUGUCAACUUCCCCAAUAGUGUCCAUGAUAGUUAAAAUUUUGUGUAUCAACUUGGAUGAGCCAGAGGGUGUCCAGAGAUUUAGUCAAACAUUAUUCUGGGUGUUACUGUAGGUAUGUUUUUAUAUGAGAUUAACAUAUAAAUCAGUAGACUGAAUAAAGCAGAUUACUUUCCCCA